rnacentral:rRNA from 1 species
UACAGGGAGUGGCAAACGGCUGAGUAACGCGUAGGAACCUACCCCAAACUCGAGUAUAGCCCCGCGAAAGCGGGGGUAUCCUCGAUAGCCCGUGAAGUAUUUUACUUCACGGUAAAGCUUUUGCGGUUUGGGAUGGGCCUGCGUCCUAUCAGGUAGUUGGUGAGGUAAAUGCUUCACCAAGCCUAUGAACGGGUAGCUGGUCUGAGAGGAUGGUCAGCCAGACUGGGACUGCGACACGGCCCAGACUCCUACGGGAGGCAGCAACUAGGAAUUGUGCGCAAUGGACGAAAGUCUGACGCCGCGACAUCGCGUGGAGGAUGAAGGUCUUCGGAUUGUAAACUCCUUUUCUUACCGAACAAGUUCUGAGUGUAGGUAAGGAAUAAGUGCCUGCUAACCACGUGCCAGAAGCAUCGGUAAUACGUGGGGCACGAGCGUUAUCCGGAUUUACUGGGCGUAAAGAGAAGCGUAGGCGGCUCGAUAAGUUUGGUGUUAAAUCUUCCGGCUCAACCGGAAACAAGCACCGAAAACUAUCGAGAUUGAGUCGAGUAGGGAAGAGGGGAAUUCCUGGUGGAGCGGUUAAAUGCGUAGAUAUCAGGAGGAAUACCAAGGGCGAAGGCACCUCUUUGGACUCGUACUGACGCUGAGGCUCGAAAGCGUGGGUAGCAAUACGGAUUAGAUACCCGUGUAGUCCACGCCGUAAACGAUCCCUGUUAGAUGU